rnacentral:rRNA from 1 species
CAGUAGCGUAUAUUAACGUUGUUGCAGUUAAAAAGCUCGUAGUUGGAUAUCUGAUCUUGUGCGGUUCGACAUUGUUUCAUUCAUUCCGAAUGACAAUUGUUCGUAAGCCGAUUUUACAAGUUCAUCCUUCGUGGAGAGUAGUUUGGUCCUUAACUGGUCCGGGCUUACAAUCCCGAUCUAUUACUUUGAAAAAAUUAGAGUGUUCAAAGCAGGCUAAUGCCACUUGAAUACACUAGCAUGGAAUAAUAAGAUAGGACUUAGUCUUAUUUUGUUGGUUUCUAGGACUUAAGUAAUGAUUGAUAGGGACGGUUUGGGGGUGCUAGUAUUCAGCGGCCAGAGGUGAAAUUCAGUGAUUCGCUGAAGACUGACUAAUGCGAAAGCAUUCACCAAGGACGUCUNCUUUAA